UCUCGUCUCCGCUAUAUAUAGGGGUGUGUUUUCUUUAUUUGUUUUAUAGAGUACUUUGUGUUGUUAGUGAGUUCCGUUUCAAUGUAUGGAGGGCUUGUUAUGUCUUCGCCUAAUUCCUGUUCACUCACAAAUGUUGUAGGAGGAAAUCUCUGGCGCAGGAAACAUUCCACCAGCAAUAUUAACUAUCCAGGUUCUUGUCCAUCAAAAGCUUCGCAAAACAAAAGGAAAAUUCAAAUGGAAUACAAUCUUUUGAGGUUCCAACAAUCUAGUUUGAAUCAUCAUUACAAAUGUAUUGAAGGAGGGUCUGCAUAUCAAGAAUGGAACAAAAAAUAUGUCGUGAAAGCAACCUCUAAACCCUCUUUUGAUUCUGGACUUCCAACUUCUAAUUCCAAAAACAUGUUGGACUCUGUAAAAAAUUUCUUGGCAGCUUUUUAUUUGUUUUGCUACCCUUACGUAAUGAUUGGCCGAAUGUUAAGCACAAUUUGUGCAAGUCUCAUUGCCGUGCAGAAACUAUCAGAUAUAUCUCCAUUGUUUAUUAUUGGUUUGUUACAGGCCUUGGUACCUUACACGUUUUUGGAUGUUUAUAUUAAUGGACUGAAUCAGUUGUCUGACAUUGAAAUAGACAAGAUAAAUAAACCAUAUCUUCCAUUGGCAUCUGGACAAUUAUCCUUUAGAACUGGUGUUAUUAUUGCUGGAUCAUCUUUAAUUUUGAGUUUUUGGCUUGGCUGGAUUAUAGGUUCUUGGCCACUGAUUUGGAGUCUUGUAAUGUGUUUUUCACUAUGGACCGCUUAUUCAAUCAACGUACCGUUGUUGAGAUGGAAGAGACAUCCACUACUUGCAGCAAUGUGCACUUUUCUUACUUUGACAAUUAUAUUUCCAAUUACAUUUUUCCUUCACAUGCAGACUUUUGUGUUGAAGAGACCAUUUGUCUUUCCGAGAUCACUGGUUUUUGUUAUUGUAUUCAUGAGCUUCUACAGUGUAGGCAUAGCAUUGUUCAAGGACAUACCUGACAUUGAAGGAGAUAAGAAAUAUGGCAUCCAUUCUUUUUCAGCACGUUUAGGUCAAAAACGGGUAUUCUGGAUUUGUGUUUCACUUUUUGAAAUGGCCUUUGGAGUUGCCCUCUUGGCAGGAGCAACAUCUUCUUGCCUUUGGAUUAAAAUUGUCACGGGUCUGGGACAUGCUGCUCUUGCUUCCGUUCUUUGGUAUCAGGCCAAAUAUGUAGAUUUGACAAACAAAGUUUCCAUAAGAUCCUUCUAUAUGUUGAUUUGGAAGGAAAUGCAUACUUGACUCCAUGAAAAUUUUCACCACCACAUGAGCUGUUAGGGAUAAAGAUCAAGCUAGCUGGUUUCGAGGACCAGGGCCUCCAUAGAAGAGAAGAGAAGAGGAAAUAGUAAGGCAAGGGAUAUUUUCAUUCAUGAUUCUGGCUUAUUUACAUACUUAUUUAUACUAUCCUCUAAUAACAGAAUUCUUAUCUUUUUGUGCAAGAGGAAUAUCACAGAAUCAAUUCCGUUAAGCUUGUCCCCUGCUCUAAUAGCAUCAUCACACAAUAAGGAUUUCUACUAAAUCCCUUUUCUACCCUUAAGCAUAAUCUCAAAGGUAAGUUGGCCUCAUGAUUCUUCUUUUGGGCUUUUCCUCAAUCUGCACCUUGGUAUGAUCUGCUUGCACCUCUGCUGAAUAUUCUAUUUGUACCCCUGCUCUGUGGUCUGUGGUUUCCCUAUCAUCUCGCGGCCCUUGGGAAAUCACCUUGUCCUCAAGGUGAUAGUCAUGGCAAAGAGUGGACCAAUCCUCCCAAGAUGUAUCAUCUGGGGAUAAGCCAUGCCAUUGAACCAAGACUUCCCAAGCGUCCGAAGGGGUUCUGCGAUAAUCCACAAUUGCUGCCGGAGUGAUAAUAGGUUGAUCAUUGUGAAAUUGGUCUGGUAAAGGCGCGGGAGAGGUGGUCUCCAGUUGACCACGGAAUGGUUUGAGAAGAGAAUAAUGGAAGACCUCAUGAAUUUUCGUAUCUGGUGGAAGUUGCAGGUGAUGAGCUACUUUGCCGAUGGCUUCGAUAACCCGGAAGGGUCCAUAGUACCUCCUUGUUAGUUUACCAGAAGAACUUUGAGAGCCUUUGGCCGAGGUCUAUCUAUGGGGUCGCAAUUUGAGCCAAACCCAAUCACCAGAAUUGUAGUUUACGUCGCUUCGGCGACGGUCUGCCUGUUCCUUCAUGCGACUUUGGGCUUUCAAGAGCUUUCUACGAACCAUUUGGAAGGUCUCAUCUCGGUCCUGCAGCAAAUUAUCCACGACAUCCACAGUAGAGGACCCUGCGAUGUACUCAGGGAAAUUGAACGGCUUCUUGCCGAAAGUGAGCUCGUAAGGAGUGGUCCCGGUGGCGGAAUUCCAGGACGUAUUGUGUGACCACUCUGCCCAAGGAAGGUACUUUCCCCAUGAGCUUGGUCGCCGGUGAACGAAGCUUCUCAGGUAUUGCUCAAUAGUCCUAUUGAGCACCUCCGUUUGGCCAUCACUUUGGGGGUGAUAGGCGGUGCUCAUCCAGAGUUGAGUGCCACUACGCCGGAAAAGUUCUUGCCAGAAUCUACUAAUGAAGAGGGGGUCCCGAUCAGACACCAAACUCCGGGGAAUGCCGUGAAGCUUGACGACGAUGUUGACAAAUAACGAAGCUACUGCUAACGCUGUGUGAGCUGUGGGUAGCAUACCCAGAUGAACCCCUUUCGAGAACCUAUCCACAACGACGAGGAUGACUGUGUGACCUUGGUACACCGGCAAGCCCGUGAUAAAAUCGAGAGAAAGGUCCUCCCACGACCGUGACGGUACCGGGAGGGGACAUAACAAUCCAGCCAUGCGCUUAGUUUCGUACUAAGCGGGAGGUCUUGAGUUCGACUCUCAACGAGAGCACCAAUGUUAGGGAUAAAGAUCGAGCUAGCUGUUUUCGAGGACCAAGGCCUCCAUAGAAGAGAAGAGAAGAGAAAAUAGUAAGGCAAGGGAUAUUUUCAUUCAUGAUUAUGACUUAUUUACAUACUUAUUUAUACUAUCCUCUAAUAACAGAAUUCUUAUCUUUUUGUGCAAGAGGAAUAUCACAGAAUCAAUUCCGUUAAGCUUGUCCCCUGCUCUAACAGCAUCAUCACACAAUAAGGAUUUCUACUAAAUCCCUUUUCUACCUUAAGCAUAAUCUCGAAGUUGUUGUCCGUAGCAUACCUCCUCAUGCCUUUAAUCAGAUAAGGAUGACGUUGAAGGUUAAAACCGUCCUCGUGACACAUACAUCAGAAUAAAAUGGAUAUGUUUUGCAUCUAAACUUUAUUAAAAUAGAAAAAACUACAGCGAUAUGUGUUCCCUGGAUAUCAGUUCUUGUAUUAUUAAGAUAUUUAUUUAAAUGUGUGAAGGCUUUAUGCAUAUCCAAACUAA